rnacentral:ncRNA from 1 species
GUAGUUAGUAUAGUGAAAGCCUAUAUAACCUGUUUAUUAUAUGAAGUUCACAUAGGUUAACACACCCCCUUCACGCCAAUGGAGAAUUUUCCGCAAUGGGCGAAAGCCUGACGGAGCAAUGCCGCGUGAAGGUAGAAGGCCUACGGGUCAUGAACUUCUUUUCCUGGAGAAGAAGUAAUGACGGUAUCCGGGGAAUAAGCAUCGGCUAACUCUGUGCCAGCAGCCGCGGUAAGACAGANGAUGCAAGCGUUAUCCGGAAUGAUUGGGCGUAAAGCGUCUGUAGGUGACUUUUUAAGUUCGCCGUCAAAUCCCAGGGCUCAACCCUGGACAGACGAUGGAAACUACAUAGAAAGAUAAAUGUUCACUUAGAACUUGCUAAAAUAUGCUUUAACCAUGACUC